GUUAAAACCGUUGUUGGUUCACAGCCUCGAAACCUGUCACGGAGCCAAUGGCCAGGGCUGUUCUCUCUCAGCCUCUCAGCGUACCGUCGUCUUAUCCACUCUCUUCCCUUUCCGCCUCCACAAAAUCGUACUACUAUUUCACUCCCGCCACCACAAGAAUCAGACCGGCAACCGCCGGCGGCAGAAUAACUGUCAGUGCCAAGGGCAAAGACGAAACGGGCGACGCCGACGCCGAUUCUCCUGGUUUCAGUCCGUUUGGGUUCGUGACAGACAAUCCGUCAAGCCGAAGUGCGAUUCAACUUCCUGAGAGCCCCGCUGAGGAUGGAAAUGUCGGGCAGAUGCUCUAUAGGAUAGAGGACAAGGGAAAGGAAUAUGGCUCUUACGUCAAAUCUGGGAAAUUCAGAUGGUUUGUUAGAGAGACAGGGGCCGCCAACAGCCGGCGGGGAACUAUAGUCUUCCUUCAUGGCGCUCCAACACAAUCUUAUAGCUAUCGAGUUGUCAUGAACGAGUUGUCUGCUCUUGGAUUCCACUGCUUUGCUCCUGAUUGGAUAGGAUUCGGUUUCAGUGACAAACCGCAACCAGGAUAUGGCUUUAAUUAUACAGAGAAAGAGUACCACGAGGAACUGGAUAAACUACUUGAUGUGCUCGGCGUCGACUCUCCCUUUAACUUAGUGAUUCAGGGUUUUCUGGUGGGAUCAUAUGGAUUGACAUGGGCCUUGAAAAAUCAGAGCAGGAUAUCAAAGAUAUCCAUUCUAAACAGUCCAUUAACGGUUUCUUCUCCUGUUCCUGGGUUAUUUCAACAGCUAAGGAUCCCUCUGUUUGGUGAAUUUACAUGCCAGAAUGCAGUUAUGGCAGAACGUUUUAUUGAAGCAGGCAGCGCAUACGUAUUAAAGCUGGAAAAGGCUGAUGUUUAUAGACUUCCAUACUUGUCUAGUGGAGGACCUGGUUUUGCUUUACUCGAAGCAGCAAGAAAAGCUAAUUUCAAUGAUAUUUUAAGUCGGAUAAGUGCUGGCUUUGCUUCUGGAAGAUGGGACAAACCAGGUCUUGUUCUUUGGGGCAUUUCAGACAAGUAUCUACCUCAGUCCAUUGCAGAAGAGUUCCAAAACCAGAACUCAUCAACAAUCCGGCUCAAGCUUAUUGAAGGAGCUGGCCACAUGCCCCAAGAGGACUGGCCCGAGAAGGUCAUCGAGGCUUUGCGGUCGUUUUUCUGAAACUUCCUGGCUUAGAGGGCGGUCCCCUUCUUCCUCUUUGAAAUUUUCGUCAAGAAAAGCUUAAUUGACGUUUAACCCGAACGAAAGUUGGAGUCAUGCUGAAUGACCAAAAAUUAUAGUUUCUUAAAAGAAUAUGAAAAUUUGGGAACAAACCGACAAUAUCCGAAGUUGAGAAAAGCUUUGGUCAAUACCUCCACUUGUCGAAAGCAAAAGGGCAAACGUUUGACGCGAUUUUAUUAAGAGAGAAAAUGUGACGAACACCGUCAAUAAUGACCUUUUUGUGUUUAGAUUACUUUAGAAUUAGGAGAGAAAAAAGGAAAAACACAAAUUCAAACAUGUUUUUCUCAUUAUUGAUUUAACUGUCUUGUAUUCAAAUGAGAUGUGAUUGAACUAAGUCGAGCAUAGUUCAAUGGAUAAAAUUACAAACUACCAUCA